AGUCAACAUAUUACAAUGCUAGCCUAAUUUGUACCCAAUUAAAUUUAAUUUCAAUUCAUCAAUUCAAUUAUGACCCAAUUUUAAGUAUUCAAUACUUUGAAUCUCAGUCGUUGAUUAAAAAGUGAUCUAUGGCUGAGAUCAAAUUUUUUCGCUCUUUGCUUUUUAACCCUUAACAGCAAACCCAACGCCCGUUUUCAUUUUUUCAGCCGUACAAACUCACUCCUACUCUCUCUAUCUUCUCUCUAUCUUUAUCUCUUUCCCCCUCAAUAACCAUGGCAGCCGCCACCAUCUUCCGCCACCCCAAACUGGGGAACUCCAUCGAUGUCACCGCUUCUCUCAGGCGAACUUAUCUCUGCCACCAACAUGCGGCCGACUAGCCAGAUCCGCCAGACCACUAGUGCCAUCAAUGGUAAAAACAACGAUGGCUAGUCUUCCCAAGCUAUCAAAUCUCUCCAGUAAAAAGCCAUGGCCGCCGUCCUCUUUUCUUCAGCAUCGCCGGUUGCCGCUGUGCAAAACGCCAUGCAGUCAGUAAGAACAGUCCAACCACCAUCCACGGUGACAAUGUCGUCGCCCCGUGACUCAGUCCACCACCUCCAUCUCCUUCGAUCUAUUCUCCCAAUCACCUAGAUCUGCUCUUCCACCAACACUGCCAGUCGCCACCACUGCCCAUUUCAGAAAACGAUGGGUCUCAGAAACCCAUCCACAGGUUUAACCCAAGUAUUUAGAUAUCUGUGUUUAAUUUUAUACUAAUUCUUCUUCUUUUUUUCUUUGAAAAAUUUUGGAUUCGAAAUUAACAAAGUAUGAUUGAUCUCUUUGUCUGAUUCUCUGCUAUUUGAGUUUGUUUAUGUGAUAAGACUAUUAUAUGUAAAAAGCCCCAAAUUCCAUGUCUAGGUGCUACUUUUUGAGAUUCUUGGUUGAAGUAUUUAUUUUUUUCAGUAUCAUGUUACUACUUACUGACUUUUAGCAUGUCUCUCUUUCAGUUUGACAUAUUUUGGUUAAUUAGUUAAUUCGGGAUUGCUACAAUCAAUAUGUUAUAUGACGUAGAGGUUAGCCUGUCUUUUAGUGAACUCCUUGAUUUCAUUAUUCCUUCACUUAUUCGCCUUCAUUUGGUAAACUUGACUCAUCUCACUUUAAUUAUGAUGAUUGUUAUCGUGACAGAUUCUGGUUGGUUAUACAUGUUGUUGAUUAAUCGUUUUUCUAAAUAUUAGCUUUUUCUUUUAUUUUCUUGGGGAUGAAUUUUGACAUAAUUGAUUAUAGCAUUUUGUUUGAGGAAACUUAAUAGCCUUGAUUGACUUAUCAAAUAUUCUCUUAUUUCUUUGGCUGAACUUUACAAGAUUUCAUACUCUUAAUUGUGUUAGUUGAAAAAGGAAAUUGGAGGGAUUGAUUUUUCUUUGAUUGAAUAUUAUUAGUUAAUUAAUUUUAUGUUUAGAGAAAAUAUCCUUGACUGAUUGCAUUGAAUAUUUAUUUUUCUUUUAUUUCCUUGACUGAACUUUGCCUAAUCUGUCAUUAUUGUUUGAUACAAGUGUUUAUGGUAAAUUUGUUCUUUUUAUAUCCUAAAAUUGAUUCAAUCUUUUUCUAAUUAAAGAAAAUAUUCUGACUGAUUGUUAAAAUAUUCUCCUUCUCCAUGAUUGAUUCUGAUUGAUUUUAAAAUAUUUCUUCCUUUUAUCCUAUGGACCCCUUUGCUAUAUAAACAACCCCCAUCCUCAUUCCCAAGGACAAGCCAUUUACAACUUACGCUCUCUCACACGAAAACUUUAAACAAAUAAAUAAUUUUAUUUUAUUAUUUCUGUACUUAUCUUUGGAGCAUUAAUCUUGAGCUUUUGGUGGAAAUUCAUUCUCGAAUCGCAUGCAUCCUUGGUUUUCUUUUUAUUAUUAUUUGUUGUCAUCGACCGGUAAGUCACUAAUCGAUGCAUUCUUUUCUUAUCCCAUAAUAUUUGUGAUGGCAAAACAUAGAAAACAUGUCUAUAGGAACUAGUGUGAACGAUGAUGUUGUGCUUGGUUGUGAUGUCUUUGUGCUUUUGUUUAAGACAACAUGUUCGUAUGUUCGAGUGUUCCUUUUUGUGCUUGCCCUGCUCUUUUGCUCGGAUUUGACAGGUACUAAGCAACAUUGGAAAAGUUGUCAGGGUUUUGGGAUGGGUGUUGUUUAUUUCUCAUUAGUCUACCAUUCUCUUUUAUUAGUCUUUUGUUAGCCAUGAGCCUGUAAUAUUAUUGUACAAACACUAUUGAUGUAAUAAUAAAUUUUGGGAAUUGCUUCGGGGGUGGAGAUUUAUGUGCUCUAUGAAUCACAUAGGCUAACACAACUUAGGUAUACAUGCUCUAUAUGUUAUGUGAAUCACCUAGGUAAACAUAAUUUAGGAUUCAUUAAUUAAAUUGUCGAUCACUUAGAAAUCCUGAUUUUAGGAGUUUAACUGAUUUUGCAUAAUUAUAAUUUCUUGCAACGCUUGUUUCUUUCGGCAUGUUUAAUGAAAUUUGGCAUAUUACGAAUGACAUUUUUUUGCAUCUUUUUAAUUUUACAACGUUCAAGCAACAUUUUUAAACUCACUAGCUAAAUCUCCUACAUUUUAAAGUGAAAUCUAGUGCAUUAAAUCAUUCUCUGGUGCAUAAAAUGAUUGAUUGCAGUAUGUGUCUCGCAUGGUAAAGUCAUUGUCGACACAUGUUAAGUUCUUGCAUAUCGUCGCGUGGUUUUCAACGUACCAACGGUGUCUAAGCAUGAUAAUUUUGUGAGCAUGUUAACAAUUAAACUUGAGUACGUUUUUGCAUGUUAAAACAAAUUUUAGCAUUAUUAGAGUACAUUUCUGCACGUUAAAAUAAAUUUCAGCAUUAUUAGUGUAAGUUUCUGCACAUUAAAACAAAUUUCAGCAUUAUUAGCGUAUGUUUUUGCACAUUAAAAUAAAUUUCAGCAUUAUUAGGGCAUGUUUCUGCACAUUAAAAUAAAUUUCAGCAUUUUAAAACUACUUUCAGCAUGUUAGUAUUAAAAUUUAAACAUGUUAACAUUAAAUUCCUGCACUAUUAACAUAUUUUUAGCAUGUUAGAAUAUUAAAUGCGAGGCAUUUUUAGUAUGUUAUUGUAUUAUAUUCCUGCACACUAAUACAACUGCCAGCAUGUUAAAAAGUAGGUUUUUAAGCAUUUUUAACAUAUUAAACACUAGAUUAAGUACAUCAUUAUGUACCUUAGCAUGUUGAUGUAUUUUCAAUAUUGUGUUUAUUUCUUACACUCUCAUUAGUUUAUAACACUUGCACAAUGAAAGUCGGUCAAUUGGUCGGAUGAUGAUUAAACAAGUUGGGGUUCUGAUCCGAAUGUGACCGAAAACAUUUUUUUGUUUGAUUUGAUGAAUUCUUUUUUUAUUUUUUAUUUACUUUACAUGCUUAUUUAUUUGGGGUAGUUAGUUUAGUACAUAAGCAGUCCCCUUCUGUUAUAAAUUAUGUCAUUUCUUUCUCCUCGUUUAUCCUAUUAUAUAUUUUUAUCACUUAGAUAAUUAACAAUUUGAAAUAAUAAGAUAAUAUGUUUUGUUCAUUAAUUGUUUUAUCACUUAGUUAAAUAUUAAAUUAAUAAUAAAAUAAGAGAUCUUAUUUGAUCACAUAGAAUCCUCACGUAAAAUAUAAAUUCGGCCGGGAACCACCUUUGUGGACCUCGAAAGGUGCCUAACACCUUCCUUCUGAAGUAAUUUGAACCCUUACCCGAAUCUUUGUUGAAUUAAGACAAAACAACAAAAUAGGUUCGUAGUAGCCUAGAUCGAUGUCCUAACACACCUUAAUUCAUUAGGUGGCAACUCUUCAUACUCUACCCUUAAAGAAUCUCAAAAAGAGUGGUCACGUCGAAUCUCGCUUUGCUGGGAUCUUUGGUUCUAACCAUUACAAAUUUGUGCUUUAUGUGGGAUUCUCUCCAUUUGUUUUGAUAAUGUUUAAUCUCCUGAUUUAUUUUCUAUAUGUUCUUCUUUUAGCGUUUGAUUACAUCAUGAUUUAUUAGUCCUUUCUCCUUUUCACUUUAUGUGUUAUUUACAUUUCUCCAUGUUCAUUUCUUUUCCUUUUUCCCUAUUUAUUGUUUAUGCAUUAUUAUGUUCAUUUAUACGUAUGUUGUUUAGCAUGUUAUAUUUCACUAUGUGAUAUGUGUUAUUGCUUUUUAUAAUUGGCAUUUCGCUCAUACUUUCCUCUGCUUGGAACCUCCUUUAUUUUUUUUUACGGACGGUUGCAUGGUUAUACGGACGUUCUUUCCUAAAGCACCCUUUGAAAAAUGUCUUGUGGAUCGGUUGAUCAGCGUUGUGUCGACAGUCACAAGCUUUCCCACUCUCGAGUUGUCCACUUGAGUUCUACCAUGUCACAAACCCACUUUUGUCCUUUUUAUUUUGGCUACAUAUUUCUUUUAUUAAGAAAUAUGUGUCCCAUUCAAUGCAGGAUGCCUUGGCAUCCUUGACGCAUUGAAUGUUAGUCUCAUUCAAAGUCCAAAGAGGUUCAUGACCUCAAAGGGACUCAUAAUUACUUGCUAUAUAUUGCAUUUCUAUGUAUGUAUUGACAUGUGCCUAUCUUGUUGUUAGUCACUCCUUACAUUUAGUGUUCCUCACUUUAGAGCUCGUUACUCUUAAAAUUCUUGUCAUGUUAGGUCCUUACAAUACACUCUUAGGGCCUAUUCAAAAUUCCCUAAUUCAUCCCAACCUGCUAUUCAAUUUUUAUAACUCUCAAAAUUUUGAACUACGUCUGACCUGAUUCUUGUUUCAAUAAGAUACGUAGGCAAUCCCUUUGUAAGGAUGCAAUCUUCCUUUUCCCUUUUUUUAUAAAACGUCCUAAUAUUUGAAAAUAUGAACCAAUCAUUAUCAUUCCAACAAUUUUUCUAUCAAAUCAUAUCCUCCAUAUCUUUCACCUUUCCAUAAUGCCAUAAGGGUGCAACUUAGAAGUUUUUUUAUUCAAAUGAUUUUUCACAAUCUUUCAAACUCUCAAACAUUUCAAACUAAAUACUUCAAAAUGUUCAAAACUUUGUGAAUCUUUAAUUCUUCCAUUUAUUCAAAAUAAUUUCUUUAAACAUUAUAUCCCUGCAAUAUUUUAUCAUUAUUCACUUGUUCACUUAAUCAGCUUCAAGUAUGAAUUUAGUAUCUAAGUCUUUGUGAGAAUCUAUCUUCCAUCUUGUGAUGUCAAUUUAUUUUUCAACCUUAAAAUUCUAACCCACCCAUUCGUCCUAAAGUCCUCCUUGACAAAAUGACUCAUAUCGACAUACUAUCUCUUUUCACAUUGAGCACACUGAUACUUAUUUUGUUUAGUUUAUUAUUUAAAGGUUGUCUAGCGUUUGAACAUCGACUCGAUUGAAAAUCUGCAAUGUGACCAAUAUGCUCAAUAUCCGGAAAGAUUACAUCCUGUUUUUCUCUCACUCAAGGUAAAACUCUGUUUAGACGGAACCUCUUUAUUCUCGCGUUAUUCAUGUACCCUCUCAACAAUUUCCUUCUACAUUCACCACUCUUGAAAAUGGGAGACACCGUUAGUCUACAUUUAUUCACCUUAUGAAUAAAUAAUAUUUUCUAUCUUAUCUACCUUUCUUUUUACUCACGAACAACAUUCGACCUAACUUUCAUUCGGAGGCAGCCCACUCUAGGUCCGGUCUUAAUCUAAUAAAAAAUUUUCUCUCCCCACUUUCUUUCAAUUCUUACAAUUCCAAAAUGACAGGCUAAUAGACCCAACUCUUGAGCAUAUAAAGGCAGAUUACAAUUGAGGUUGCAAUAUUCAAAUGUAGGACAACCAUUUCUCUUAGAAUAAUGUUUUCUUUGAGUGGCUCAGGAAUAUGAUACUCCAAAAUCCAAAAUUGGGGCAUAAUUUUUGAGGUUUCAAUAAAACCUCAAAAAUUUCACAAGUAAACAAUAUAUCAAUGACGUGCAAAAAAUGCCUUUCAUUCUAAAUUGGGGCAGAAAUUUUUGAGAAUUUCUCAAAAAUUUCACCAUGAUAAGUACAAGUUCCAACGGUCCAUGAAGCAGAAAUAAUGACCAAAGAGUCAAAUUGAGCAAGGUACGAAUCAACAUUUUUUUGACUAACAAUUUUUCUUUGUGUACAAACAACAGGUACUAAAUGCAACAACGAUGUUGUGAUAUCAUCAAAGAGGCCAGAAUUAUAUCCCUAAUAAGGGAAAUAAGCUAAGUUGUUCUAUCUUUUAACUUUGACGAUAUUUAAUCUAAUAUUAUCUUAUCACAAUCUUGGGUUCCUGUAGAACCUUAUAAAAUAAUCUUGGGUUCCUGUAGAACCUUAUCAACAAUGUUAGGUUUCUGUAGAACCUUAUUCCAUAAUACUGGGUUCCUGUAGAACCUUAUCAAAUAAUCUUGGGUUCCUGUAGAACCUUAUUUAAUAAUAUUGGAUUUUUGUAGAACCUUAUUCAAUAAUGUUAGGUUUCUGUAGAGCCGUAUUCCAUAAUAUUGGGUUCCUGUAGAACCUUAUCAAAUAAUCUUGGGUUCCUGUAGAACCUUAAUUGAACAAUCUUGGGUUCCUGUAGAACCUUAUUCAACAAUGUUAGGUUUCUGUAGAACCUUAUUCCACAAUAUUGGGUUCCUGUAGAAAUAUAUCAAAUAAUCUUGGGUUUUUGUAGAACCUUAAUUGAACAAUCUUGGGUUUCUAUAGAAUCUUAUUCAACAAUGUUGGGUUUCUGUAGAACCUUAUUCCAUAAUAUUGGGUUCCUGCAGAACCUUAUAAACAAUCUUGGGUUACUGUAGAACCUUAAUUGAACAAUCUUGGGUUUCUGUACAACCUUAUUCGGUUCCUAUAGAACCUUAUCAAAUAAUCUUGGGUUCCUGUAGAACCUGAAUUGAACAAUCUUGGGUUCCUGCAGAACUUUAUUGGGUUCUUAUAGAACCUUAAUCAACAAUCUCGGGUUCAUGUAGAACCUUAAUCAACAAUCUUGGGUUCUUGAAACCUUAUAUUCUUUUCAUGUCCUAUUUUGUAGACGAGGUUCAUCAAAAAGACGACGACAUCAAUCGAGGCAGAGACACAAAUCAACCUCCCUUUUUACAAACUCACAAUUUUUCUUUGAGUACAGGAUUAACAGGUACAGAUGACAAAAAUUACUCCAUCACGAGGGAGCACAAUAGCUAAUCCAACAUCAUAACGAGAGACUUCACAAUUGAUCCAAUAAUACAACAGAUACACUUUCUUAUCUCCCCUUAACAUUAUCAUUACAGUUGUUUUAACUACAUUAUUUAAUCUUCUAAAUAUACAUUCGUGGUAACCAUUUUUAUCUAGUUGAGCUAAAAAUGGCAGGACUAACAACUAUAGAUAAUAGGAAUUACUAUAUCGAGAGGUCCAACAGCCAAUCCAACGUCAUAUCAAGAAGCCAAACAGAUGAUCCAACGAUAUAUUAGGAGGUUCAAUCGCCGAUCCAAUGUCAUAUCGAGAAGCCAAACAACUGAUCCAACAACACUUUGAGAGGUUCAACAUCCGAUCCAACGUCAUAUCGAGAAGCCAAACAGCUGAUGCAAUAAUACAUCGAGAGGUUCAACAACCGAUCCAAUGUCAAAUCGAGAAGCCAAAUAACUAAUCCAACAAUACAUUGAGAGGUUCAACAUUCGAUCCAAUGUCAUAUCAAGAAGCCAAACAACUGAUCCAACGAUACAUUGAGAGGUUCAACAUCCGAUCCAACGUCAUAUCGAGAAGCCAAACAACUGAUCCAAUGAUACAUCAAGAGGUUCAACAUCUAAUCCAACGUCAUAUCGAGAAGCCAAACAACUGAUCUAACGUCACAUCAAGAAAUCAAACAACCGAUUCAACAAUACGAUAUCUACGCUUUCUUUAUUUCCACAUUCACUUUAGGAUUAUCAAUUGUAUAUUUAUUAUAUGCCUAACCUUUGUUAUUUAGUACGAUGUAAAGACGCAGGUAACAAAGAAGGAAUAACAAAUAGAGAUAAUUUUUGUUUCUAUUUUCAGAGUAUUACCCCAUCUAUGCAUUCAUUGCCUAAACUAAUCCUAAAACACACCUACCUCAAAAUUUUCAAACUUCUCCAUACGUCAUUGUUCCAAAUCCUAUUCAUUACCAUCUCACUGACCCGCGAUACCAUUGUUGAUGCCCAGAUCCUUUAUCAUUAACAUUCUUUAGGAACAUUAUUCUUUCCUGAAUCUAGAACUACAAAUGGCCUGAUUCUCGUAAAAUCAGAGAUAUGUAGGCGACUUGAAAUCGAAGUCUCAGCCACAUUAUUUUUAACCACCUCCUGUUGCUUUAAUUCCAAUGAAUCUUUCUCGGUCGGACAAAAUUGGCUACUACGUCAACUUUCGUUGUUUGACAAUUCUUUCAUCAUUCUCAAAUAACGAAGGGGCAGUUGUUGACAUCUAAUUUUGACCACCGGAUGGUCCUUUUAGGCUGUUAUUUUAGCAAAAUUAUUAAUUUUAAAUGUUAGUAUUCUUACACAUUUUUCUUGCAUCAAACAGAUUAUUGACGUGUCACAUCCAUAAUUUAGAAAAAACACAAAUUAUUUUAUUUUUCUUUUAGUAUAAUUUUUAUAAUUUUAAAAAUCAAAUGCGACAUUUACAUAAUUUUUUUAUAUUAUUCGUAACUACGCAUACUCACAUUUUUUCAAAUACAUUGCCAGUUUCCAUUAUUUAAUAUUAUUUAUUAUUAUUGUUAUUAUAAAUAUUAUUUACUAUUUAUUAUUUAUUGUUAUCUCUACUAUUAUUUCAGUAACAACCUAGAUUAAAAUGACUUUGCCUAAUUUAUUUAUCUUUUAGCCCAAUUUUAUCCAUGUCAUGACAAUUUUAGUCUAAUACAGUCAACUUAUUACAAUGCUAGCCUAAUUUGUACCCAACUGAAAUUAAUUUCAAUUCUUCAAUUCAAUUGUGACCCAAUUUUAAGUAUUCUAUACUUUGAAUCUCAGUCGUUGAUCGAAAAGUGAUCUACGGUUGGGAUCAAAUUUUUUCGCUCUUUCCUUUUUAACCCUUAACAGCAAACCCUACCCCAUUUUUUAUUUUUUUCAGCCGCACAAACUCACCCCUUCUCUCUCUCUCUCUCUCCCUCAAUAAGCAUGGCAACCGCCCCCAUCUCCGGCCACCCUAAACCGGGGAACUCCAUCGAUGUCACCGCCUCCCUCAGGCGAACCCAUCUCUGCCACCGCUAUGCGACCGACCGGCCAGAUCCGCCAGACCAAUGGCGAUAUCAAUGGCAAAAACAACGACGGCCAACCUUCCCAAGCCAUCGAACCCCUCCAGCAAACAGCCAUGGCGGCCUUCCUCUCCCCUUCUGCACCACCUGUCGCCGUUGCGCAAAACACCAUGCAACCGGCAAGAUCGGGCCAGCCACCAGCGACGACGACGAUGCCGUUGUCCCGCGACUCAGUCCACCACCUCUAUCUCCUCCGAUCUCUUCUCCCCAUAGCCCAGAUUUACUCCGCCACCAACGCCGCCAGUCGCCGCCACUGCCCGUUUCAGAAAACGAUGGGUCUCAGAUACCCAUCCACAGGUUUAACCUAAAUAUUUAAAUAUCUGUGUUUAAUUUUAUACCACUUCUUCUUUCCCUUUCUUUGACAGAUUUUGGAUUCGAAAUUAACGAAGUGUGAUUGAUCUCUUUCUCUGAUUCUCUGAUAUUUGAGUUUGUUCAUGUCAUAAGACUAUUGAAGUUGUCAUUUUUUUAAUAUCAUGUUACUACUUGCUUACUGACUUUUAGCAUGUCUCUCUUUCAGUUUGACAUAUUUUGGUUAAUUAGUUAAUUCGGGAUUGCUAGAAUCAGUAUGUUAUAUGACUUGGUUUCAAAAUCGUGAGGUUUGUCUGUCUUUUAGUGAACUCCUUGAUUUCAUUAUUCCUUACUUAUUCGCCUUCAUUUGGUAAACUUGACUCAUCUCACUUUGAUUAUGAUGAUUGUUACCUUGACAGAGUCUGUUUAGUUAUACAUGUUGCUGAUUAAUUGUUUUUCUAAAUAUUAGCUUUUCCUUUUAUUUUUUUGGGGCUGAAUUUUAACAUAGUUGAUUAUAGCAUUUUGUUUAAGGAAAUUAGUAGCCUUGAUGGACUUAUCAUAUUUUCUCUUAUUUCUUUGGCUGAACUUUACAGGAUUUCAUACUCUUAAUUGUGUUAGUUGAAAAGGAAAUUGGAGGAAUUGAUUUUUCUUUGAUUGAAUAUUAUUAGUUAAUUGAUUUUAUGUUUAGAGAAAAUAUCCUUGACUGAUUGCAUUGAAUAUUUGUUUUCCUUUUAUUGCCUUGACUGAACUUUGCCUAAUCUGUCAUUGUUAUUUGAUAUAUUAUUUGAUACAAGUGUCUAUGGUAAAUUUGUUCUUUUUAUAUCCUAAAAUUGAUUCAAUCUUUUUCUAAUUAAAGAAAAUAUUCUGACUGACUGUUAAAAUAUUCUCCUCCUCCAUGAUUGAUUCUGAUUGUUCUUAAAAUAUUUCUUCCUUUUAUCCUAUGGACCCCUUUGCAAUAUAAACAACCCCAUCCUCAUUCCCAAGGACGGACAAUUUACAACUCACGCUCUGACACGAAUGCUUUAGACAAAUAAAUAAUUUUAUUUUAUUAUUUCUGUACUUAUCUUUGGAGCAUUAAUCUUGACCUUUCUGCGGCAAUUCGUUCUUGAAUCGCAUGCAUCCUUGGUUUUCUUUUUAUUAUUAUUUGUUGUCAUCGACCGGUAAGUCACUAAUCGAUGCAUUCUUUUCUUAUCCCAUAGUAUUUGUGAUGGCAAAACAUAGAAAACAUGUCUAUAGGAACUAGUGUGAACGAUGAUGUUGUGCUUGGUUGUGAUGUCUUUGUGCUUUUGUUUAAGACAACAUGUUCGUAUGUUCGAGCGUUCCUUUUUGUUCUUGCCCUGCUCUUUUGCUCGGAUUUGACAGGUACUAAGCGAUAUCAGAAGAGUCGUCAGGGUUUUGGGAUGGGUGUUGUUUCUUUCUCAUUAGUCUACCAUUCUCUUUUAUUAGUCUUUUGUUAGCUAUGAGCCUGUAAUAUUAUUGUACAAACACUAUUGAUGUAAUAAUAAAUUUUGGGGACUGCUUCAGGGAGCGGGAAUUUAUGUUCUCUGUGAAUCACAUAGGCUAACACAACUUAGGUAUACCUGCUCUAUAUGUUAUGUGAAUCACCUAGGUUAAUAUAAUUUGGGAUUCAUUAAUUAAAUUGUCGAUCACUUAGAAAUCAUGAUUUUUGGAGUUUAACUAAUUUUGCAUAAUCAUGAUUUCUUGCAACGCAUGUUCCUUUAGGCAUCUAUGAUGAAAUUUGGCAUAUUACGAAUAAAAUCUUUUAGCAUCUUUUUAAUUUCACAACGUUCGAACAAUAUUUUUAAACUCACUAGCUAAAUCUCCUGUAUUUAAAAGUGAAAUCUAGUGCAUUAAAUCAUUCUCUGGUGCAUAAAAUGAUUAAUUCCAGUAUGUAUCUCGCAUGGUAAUGUCAUUGUCGUCAACAGAUGUUCUCGUCGCGUGGUUUUCAACGUACCAACAGUGUCUAAGCAUGAUAAUUUUGUGAGCAUGUUAACAAUUAAACUUGUUGCACAAUUCAAUUAAACUUGUUGCACUAUUAACAUAAUUUUUCAGCAUAUUAACAUUAGGUUUUAGAUAAUUUCAGCAUUAUUAGAGUACGUUUCUGCACGUUAAAACAAAUUUCAGCAUUAUUAGAGUAUGCUUCUGCAAAUUAAAACAAAUUUCAGCAUUAUUAGGGCAUGUUUCUGCACAUUAAAAUAAAUUUCAGCAUUUUAAAACUACUUUUGAGCAUGUUAGUAUUAAAAUUUUCAGCAUUUUAAAACUACUUUGAGCAUGUUAGUAUUAAAAUUUAAGCAUGUUAACAUUAAAUUCCUGCUCUAUUAACUUAUUCUUAGCAUGUUAGAAUAUUAAAUGCGAGGCAUUUUUAGCAUGUUAUUGUAUUAUAUUCCUGCACACUAAUACAACAGCCAGCAUGUGAAAAAGUAGGUUUUUGAGCAUUUUCAACAUGUUAAACACUAGAUUAAGUACAUCAUUAUGUGUCUUAGCAUGUUGAUGUAUUUUCAAUAUUGUGUUAAUUUCUUACACUCUCAUUGGAUUAUAACAUUUGCACAAUGAAAGCCGUGAGCACAACUCCGUGACAUAUUUACCGCACUUUGACAUCCUUUUUUAACAACUUGACAACACAUUGUUUAGACAUGAAUUACAAUUAUCUUUUGUCAUAUUACACAGUUAUUGAACACUUAGAUAUUAUGCCUAUAGGUUAAUGACAUGAAAAAUAAGUAGUUGUUUGUCUUUGCAUGUUAAUCACAUUAAUCAACUUUAAUUAACCAAGAGGCUAACUUGGGACAAUUAUGUGUUGCGUGACGUCCUACUUGUUAUACGUUUUGAGUCCUUGGCAACGUAGCUUUAUUUUGUCUAGACCACAAAAUCAAAAUAGAAAAGUCCAAUGCCUCUUGGAUGAUAGGCGGGACGAUAGGAGUUACUAAAGACGCUAGUUUUAUCCUUGUCUUAGAACGCCUUGUAGAGUUAACAACCAGCCUAGGUGGGAUGGGACGGGUAGUCAUUCAGAAAUGAUGAUCUCCAACAGACAUUAAUGGUAAGACACAAGGCUUGUCUAAGAGUUCGGCCAAUUGGUCGGAUGAUGAUUAAACAAGUUGGGGUUCUGAUCCGAAUGAGACCAAAAAUAUUUCUUUGUUUGAUUUGAUGAUUUUUUUAAUUAUUUUAUUUACUUUAAUGCUUAUUUAUUUGGGGUAGUUAGUUUAUUACAUAAGCAGUCAUCUUUUGUUAUAAAUUAUGUCAUUUCUUUCUCCUCGCUUAUCUUAUUAUAUGUUUUUAUCACUUAGAUAAUUAACAAUUAGAAAUAAUAAAAUAACAUAUUUUGUUCAUUAAUUGUUUUAUCACUUAGUUAAAAAUUAAAUUAAUAAUAAAACAAGAGACCUUAUUUGAUCACAUAGAAUCCCCAUGUAAAAUAUAAAUUCGGUCGAGAACUAUCUUUGUGGACCUUGAAAGGUGUCUAACACCU
rnacentral:lncRNA from 1 species